UGACUUUAGACAAGAAUACCCGCUGAAUUUAAGCAUAUAAGUAAGCGGAGGAAAAGAAAAUGAAUAUGAUUCCCUUAGUAAGGGCGACUGAACCGGGAAGAGCUCAAAAUGUAAAUCAGGAACCUGGUUUCUGAAUUGUAGUCUUGAGAGCUGUUGCUAGGNNNNNNNUCCGCGUAAGUCUUUUUGGAAAAAAGCAUCAGAGAGGGUGAGAAUCCCGUUUCCGUGGAGUGUCCUGCCUUUCCGGCAUGGCUUCUUAGAGUCGCGCACUUUGGAAAUGGUGUGCAAAAUGGGAGGUAAUUUUCUUCUAAAGCUAAAUAUAGGCCUGAGACCGAUAGCAAACAAGUACCGUGAGGGAAAGAUGAAAAGGACUUUGGAAAGAGAGUUAAAAGUGCCUGAAACCGCUAAGAGGGAAGCGAAUGAAACCAGUUUUUUUUCGUAAGAUUGUUGUAGGCUAAGGUGAGUUUCUGUAUCGUAAGAGCAGUUGAGCUGAGCUGGACGCCUGCAGUGUUUCUUAUGGAAAAGUGUCAUCGUAUGUUGGGCGCUCGAAGAUUAUGGCUGGCAUCUCGUGGGUUCGCUGUUGUGUUCCUUGAGAGUUGGUUUAGAUUCUUGCCCCGACAUAGGAAUGCGGGUGGGUUUUACUGCGCUAUAAUUCUAGCGACAGAUUUGUGGACUUCUAAAGUGCUCAGGUCUUAGCUGGAAUGACGUGUAUUAUUCUCACUCCAGGACGAUGGCUAAAUGGUUUUUUUCUACCCGUCUUGAAACACGGACCAAGGAGUCGACCUCUAUCGCGAGUGUGCGGGUGGCAAACCUGUACGCGGAAUGAAAGUAACAGUUUGGAUUUUUUUGUUUUGCACAAACGGCCGGCUUCGAUCUAUUGAGAGAGGUUUGAGUAUGAGCGAUAAGGGUCGGACCCGAAAGAUGGUGAACUAUGCUUGAGUAGGGUGAAGUCAGGGGAAACCCUGAUGGAGGCUCGUAGCGGUACUGACGUGCAAAUCGUUCGUCAAACUUGAGUAUAGGGGCGAAAGACUAAUCGAACCAUCUAGUAGCUGGUUCUCUCCGAAGUUUCCCUCAGGAUAGCUGGAGUCGGUGAACAGUUUUGUCAGGUAAAGCGAAUGAUUAGAAGCAUUGGGGAUGCUUAGUCCUCGACUUAUUCUCAAACUUUAAAUAGGCAAGAUCAGUGACUUACUUUAGUGAAGUUACUGGAUAAAUGACGACCCCAAGUGGGCCAUUCUUGGUAAGCAGGACUGGCGAUGAGGGAUGAACCUAACGUUGGGUUAAGGUGCCAAACUGCUCGCUCAUCAGAUACCACAAAGGGUGUUGGUUCAUUUUAACAGCAGGACGGUGGUCAUGGAAGUCGAAACCCGCUAAGGAGUGUGUAACAACU
rnacentral:rRNA from 1 species